CAUAGGUUAAUGAGGCGAACCGGGGGAACUGAAACAUCUAAGUACCCCGAGGAAAAGAAAUCAACCGAGAUUCCCCCAGUAGCGGCGAGCGAACGGGGAGCAGCCCAGAGCCUGAAUCAGUGUGUGUGUUAGUGGAAGCGUCUGGAAAGGCGCGCGAUACAGGGUGACAGCCCCGUACACAAAAAUGCACAUGCUGUGAGCUCGAUGAGUAGGGCGGGACACGUGGUAUCCUGUCUGAAUAUGGGGGGACCAUCCUCCAAGGCUAAAUACUCCUGACUGACCGAUAGUGAACCAGUACCGUGAGGGAAAGGCGAAAAGAACCCCGGCGAGGGGAGUGAAAAAGAACCUGAAACCGUGUACGU
rnacentral:rRNA from 1 species